rnacentral:rRNA from 1 species
UCGAGGAUCUUUCGCAAUGGGCGCAAGCCUGACGAAGCGACGCUGUGUGAGCGAUGAAGGCCUUCGGGUCGUAAAGCUCUUUCGUGCAAGAACAAGGAAGCAGUGUGAAUAGCAUUGUAACUUGAGUGUACUGCGUAAAGAAGCACCGGCUAACUCCGUGCCAGCAGCUGCGGUAAUACGGAGAGUGCAAGCAUUAAUCGGAAUUAUUGGGCGUAAAGGGCGCGUAGGCGGAAAGAUAAGUCAGAUGUGAAAUUCCAAAGCUCAACUUUGGAGCUGCAUUUGAAACUGCCUUUCUAGAGGGUUGACGGAGAAAACGGAAUUCCACGUGUAGCGGUGAAAUGCGUAGAUAUGUGGAAGAACAUCGGUGGCGAAAGCGGUUUUCUAGUUUAUACCUGACGCUGAGGCGCGAGAGCAAGGGGAGCAAACAGGAUUAGAUACCCCGGUAGUCC